rnacentral:rRNA from 1 species
AGCGUACACGGUGGAUGCCCUGGCAGUCAGAGGCGAUGAAGGACGUGCUAAUCUGCGAUAAGCGUCGGUAAGGUGAUAUGAACCGUUAUAACCGGCGAUUUCCGAAUGGGGAAACCCAGUGUGUUUCGACACACUAUCAUUAACUGAAUCCAUAGGUUAAUGAGGCGAACCGGGGGAACUGAAACAUCUAAGUACCCCGAGGAAAAGAAAUCAACCGAGAUUCCCCCAGUAGCGGCGAGCGAACGGGGAGCAGCCCAGAGCCUGAAUCAGUGUGUGUGUUAGUGGAAGCGUCUGGAAAGGCGCGCGAUACAGGGUGACAGCCCCGUACACAAAAAUGCACAUAUUGUGAGCUCGAUGAGUAGGGCGGGACACGUGGUAUCCUGUCUGAAUAUGGGGGGACCAUCCUCCAAGGCUAAAUACUCCUGACUGACCGAUAGUGAACCAGUACCGUGAGGGAAAGGCGAAAAGAACCCCGGCGAGGGGAGUGAAAAAGAACCUGAAACCGUGUACGUACAAGCAGUGGGAGCCUCUUUUAUGGGGUGACUGCGUACCUUUUGUAUAAUGGGUCAGCGACUUAUAUUCUGUAGCAAGGUUAACCGAAUAGGGGAGCCGAAGGGAAACCGAGUCUUAACUGGGCGUUAAGUUGCAGGGUAUAGACCCGAAACCCGGUGAUCUAGCCAUGGGCAGGUUGAAGGUUGGGUAACACUAACUGGAGGACCGAACCGACUAAUGUUGAAAAAUUAGCGGAUGACUUGUGGCUGGGGGUGAAAGGCCAAUCAAACCGGGAGAUAGCUGGUUCUCCCCGAAAGCUAUUUAGGUAGCGCCUCGUGAAUUCAUCUCCGGGGGUAGAGCACUGUUUCGGCAAGGGGGUCAUCCCGACUUACCAACCCGAUGCAAACUGCGAAUACCGGAGAAUGUUAUCACGGGAGACACACGGCGGGUGCUAACGUCCGUCGUGAAGAGGGAAACAACCCAGACCGCCAGCUAAGGUCCCAAAGUCAUGGUUAAGUGGGAAACGAUGUGGGAAGGCCCAGACAGCCAGGAUGUUGGCUUAGAAGCAGCCAUCAUUUAAAGAAAGCGUAAUAGCUCACUGGUCGAGUCGGCCUGCGCGGAAGAUGUAACGGGGCUAAACCAUGCACCGAAGCUGCGGCAGCGACGCUGAUGCGUUGUUGGGUAGGGGAGCGUUCUGUAAGCCUGUGAAGGUGUGCUGUGAGGCAUGCUGGAGGUAUCAGAAGUGCGAAUGCUGACAUAAGUAACGAUAAAGCGGGUGAAAAGCCCGCUCGCCGGAAGACCAAGGGUUCCUGUCCAACGUUAAUCGGGGCAGGGUGAGUCGACCCCUAAGGCGAGGCCGAAAGGCGUAGUCGAUGGGAAACAGGUUAAUAUUCCUGUACUUGGUGUUACUGCGAAGGGGGGACGGAGAAGGCUAUGUUGGCCGGGCGACGGUUGUCCCGGUUUAAGCGUGUAGGCUGGUUUUCCAGGCAAAUCCGGAAAAUCAAGGCUGAGGCGUGAUGACGAGGCACUACGGUGCUGAAGCAACAAAUGCCCUGCUUCCAGGAAAAGCCUCUAAGCAUCAGGUAACAUCAAAUCGUACCCCAAACCGACACAGGUGGUCAGGUAGAGAAUACCAAGGCGCUUGAGAGAACUCGGGUGAAGGAACUAGGCAAAAUGGUGCCGUAACUUCGGGAGAAGGCACGCUGAUAUGUAGGUGAAGCGACUUGCUCGUGGAGCUGAAAUCAGUCGAAGAUACCAGCUGGCUGCAACUGUUUAUUAAAAACACAGCACUGUGCAAACACGAAAGUGGACGUAUACGGUGUGACGCCUGCCCGGUGCCGGAAGGUUAAUUGAUGGGGUCAGCGCAAGCGAAGCUCUUGAUCGAAGCCCCGGUAAACGGCGGCCGUAACUAUAACGGUCCUAAGGUAGCGAAAUUCCUUGUCGGGUAAGUUCCGACCUGCACGAAUGGCGUAAUGAUGGCCAGGCUGUCUCCACCCGAGACUCAGUGAAAUUGAACUCGCUGUGAAGAUGCAGUGUACCCGCGGCAAGACGGAAAGACCCCGUGAACCUUUACUAUAGCUUGACACUGAACAUUGAGCCUUGAUGUGUAGGAUAGGUGGGAGGCUUAGAAGUGUGGACGCCAGUCUGCAUGGAGCCGACCUUGAAAUACCACCCUUUAAUGUUUGAUGUUCUAACGUUGACCCGUAAUCCGGGUUGCGGACAGUGUCUGGUGGGUAGUUUGACUGGGGCGGUCUCCUCCUAAAGAGUAACGGAGGAGCACGAAGGUUGGCUAAUCCUGGUCGGACAUCAGGAGGUUAGUGCAAUGGCAUAAGCCAGCUUGACUGCGAGCGUGACGGCGCGAGCAGGUGCGAAAGCAGGUCAUAGUGAUCCGGUGGUUCUGAAUGGAAGGGCCAUCGCUCAACGGAUAAAAGGUACUCCGGGGAUAACAGGCUGAUACCGCCCAAGAGUUCAUAUCGACGGCGGUGUUUGGCACCUCGAUGUCGGCUCAUCACAUCCUGGGGCUGAAGUAGGUCCCAAGGGUAUGGCUGUUCGCCAUUUAAAGUGGUACGCGAGCUGGGUUUAGAACGUCGUGAGACAGUUCGGUCCCUAUCUGCCGUGGGCGCUGGAGAACUGAGGGGGGCUGCUCCUAGUACGAGAGGACCGGAGUGGACGCAUCACUGGUGUUCGGGUUGUCAUGCCAAUGGCACUGCCCGGUAGCUAAAUGCGGAAGAGAUAAGUGCUGAAAGCAUCUAAGCACGAAACUUGCCCCGAGAUGAGUUCU